rnacentral:rRNA from 1 species
GACGAACGCUGGCGGCGUGCUUAACACAUGCAAGUCGAACGGAAAGGCCCUGCUUUUGUGGGGUGCUCGAGUGGCGAACGGGUGAGUAACACGUGAGUAACCUGCCCUUGUCUUUGGGAUAACUUCAGGAAACUGGGGCUAAUCCCGGAUAGGAGCUCCUGCUGCAUGGUGGGGGUUGGAAAGUUUCGGCGGUUGGGGAUGGACUCGCGGCUUAUCAGCUUGUUGGUGGGGUAGUGGCUUACCAAGGCUUUGACCGGUAGCCGGCCUGUGAGGGUGACCGGCCACAUUGGGACUGAGAUACGGCCCAGACUCCUACGGGAGGCAGCGGUGGGGAAUAUUGCACAAUGGACAGAAGCCUGAUGCAGCAACGCCGCGUGCGGGAUGACGGCCUUCGGGUUGUAAACCGCUUCAGCCUGUGACGAAGCGUGAGUGACGGUAAUGGGUAAAGAAGCACCGGCUAACUACGUG